rnacentral:rRNA from 1 species
UACGUAGGGGGCAAGCGUUAUCCGGAUUUACUGGGUGUAAAGGGAGCGCAGGCGGCCAUGCAAGUCAGAGGUGAAAACCCGGGGCUUAACUCCGGGACUGCCUUUGAAACUGUAAGGCUAGAUUGCAGGAGAGGUAAGUGGAAUUCCCAGUGUAGCGGUGAAAUGCGUAGAUAUUGGGAGGAACACCAGUGGCGAAGGCGGCUUACUGGACUGUAAAUGACGCUGAGGCUCGAAAGCGUGGGGAGCAAAC